rnacentral:miRNA from 3 species
CACGUGCUCCCCUUCUCCAAC